CUCCACCACCACCAUACUACUACCACUCUCCUCCUCCUCCAGUCAAAUCACCACCGCCACCGUACUACUACCACUCCCCGCCUCCUCCGGUGAAAUCCCCACCACCACCAUAUUACUACCACUCACCACCUCCACCGGUGAAAUCUCCACCACCACCAUACUAUUACCACUCACCACCUCCUCCGGUGAAGUCUCCUCCACCACCAUACUACUAUCACUCUCCACCACCACCGGUGAAAUCUCCUCCUCCUUACUAUUAUCAUUCUCCACCUCCUCCGGUGAAAUCUCCUCCACCACCGUACUACUACCAUUCUCCACCUCCUCCAGUCAAGUCUCCACCACCACCGUACUACUAUCAUUCACCACCUCCUCCGGUGAAAUCUCCACCACCACCAUACUAUUACCACUCACCACCCCCACCUGUGAAAUCUCCUCCUCCACCAUACUACUAUCACUCACCUCCUCCUCCGGUGAAAUCUCCACCACCACCAUACUAUUACCAUUCACCACCCCCUCCAGUCAAAUCUCCUCCUCCACCAUACUACUACCACUCACCACCUCCUCCAGUGAAAUCUCCACCACCACCAUACUAUUACAACUCUCCACCACCACCGGUGAAAUCUCCUCCACCUCCAGUCUACAUCUACGCUUCUCCCCCACCUCCCACCCAUUACUAGGCUCAUCAAAUUCAACCAAAUUUCCCCAUUAUUCAAGUAAGUCCCCACGGUCCAAAACGUUCAAGUUACUCUUUAUCACCCACUUCAAUAUUACUUUGUCCUAAAAUCUCAGUUUCUUUCUUCACAGGUUUUCUUUUAAAAAAUGGAAUAAAGGAAGGGUCAAUGUCAAAGAGGAGAAGAAGUGAACCAAAUAAGGAUCGUCGCGUGGAAACCAGGAGUCCUACAUCACCAACAAUGAUCCACAUCACUUCCUCUUAUUCAUUGUCGCUCAUCUUCCACUUCUGCAUAAUCAUCGUCGUGUCUUCGUCAAGUCAAAUUGUUUCCAAGACCCCUUUAGAUCGUUUCAUA
rnacentral:lncRNA from 1 species